UGUGCUAUCUCCCUUUCAAACAGCAGAAGAGGUGACUGGAAUGGCCUAACGAUAAGGGCAUUUAAGUUUUUCACAUACUUAAAUGUCUACAGGAAGAUGUAUUGGCCAACACUGCAACUUGAAGACAUCAUGUUCCUUGGUAUAGCUUCUCUGUAAAAAUCUUAGCUUUCCUCCUGGAAGCAAGAUAGAGGCUACAGCUCAUAAAACAAUGUCUGUGGAUAUCAAGGGGAAUGGGAGCAGUCUUUGUCCUUUAGAGUCUCUCUCUUUUAUUCAGAGAAAAAAAUCCAAGAAUGCUUCAACAAAAUUCUCAGUAUAUUUACUGAGUAUAAGUCUUAACCUCAUGUGCAAAUCAGCCACUAUGACGUAUGUUCCUUCCAGGAUGGGGAAAUGGAUUUCCUCAUUCUUGCCAGGUCGUGCUCAGCAUUUACUCACAGGAGGGAGUAGUUUAAGGGAGGCAAACAUCAUCUUCUUCCAGUAGCCAUAGAAUAUUAAAUAAGAGCUUUUCACGGCCUCUUUAUUUAAAACUUUCUCAAACCUAAUAUGUAGUAUAUUCAUAAUUGUAUUCUGAAAACAAUAAGUCACAGGGAAAUGAUCUAACUCAUCUAGGAUCACACAGCUAGCAAGCAAUGAUGUGGAGAAUUGUUACCUCAGAUAUUCUUUAUUAAAGAUCUGACAUACACAAAGAGACUGUGAGAAGAUGGCAAUAUUUGCCUGCCAGUGUUUGCAUUUUUGGUGGGAAAUUGCUGAUGAACAAGUUAAUGAUGGCCCCAUCGAUGCCCAGACAUGCACAGAAGCUCACAGCAAGCUCUUCAACAGUACAGCCCGGACAACACUGUUGCAGUAUGAGUGGACCCAGAGAGAUGAGUAGGCUGUCAAGAAAGCUUCAUCCUGACCAGAAAUGUCCCAGAAGCUCAGGGAAACACGCAGCAGAGUGGAAAGUGCACAGCCAGGUCAAGGACCACUGUGAAAUUGUGGUACUUGCUAUGGGAGAGAAUGUCCCUGUUUGUGAAGCUUGCCAGUGUUAAUUGGACAUUGUAUCCCCAGAAAUUAUAGCAGAAAUAGGCUGCAGUGACCCUAAUCCAAUUUAUAAGUUUGCUUCGGUACUUCUGGUGAGAUUCUUGUAUGCACAGGGCAUUAAAGGUAAUCUUUCUUAUGCCCACAGAAAGUCAAAGACAAGGAAAAUUUCACCCCGAGACACUUGCUUCUAAUCAAACCCUAAAUGGUAGAAUGUAGGAUAGCUGUCCUUGAAAAUAGGUUUUGAUUUUUUUCAGUGCAUUCAAAAGAAAUCUUUUAGCAGAAUGGCUAUAGAAUAGUGAAGAUAGGAAUUAAUUUAGGUAAACAAAAAUGCCAUUUUUAACUCAGACCAUUUUAAGAGUUUUAAAUUAUCCUGCAGCAGGGCUUAAAAUGACCAUUGUAUUUCUUGUAUGUGAAACAAUACUUAUUAUUUGGUAAAACACUACAGGUUCCCACAAGAAACAAUGGAUUUCCCCUCUCACCUCAAGACUCUGCAGAGUGUUCCAUGUGAUAACCCUUCCUAGUUAAUGACUUCUAAACAUUUGCCAUAUCACAGCGUCUCCUUGCCAGCUCUUCCUACCAUUUUCUUUCCCUCACACUGCCAGUAGAUGGUCUAAAAAUACAAACUACACUGACUGGAAGCUCAGAUGUGAACACUGUAAGCACAAAUACUGGAGAUGCUAAUCUGCAUAUUUAAGAGAAUGGGGCUGGCUGGGACUUUAUAUUGUAAUAAAUAUAAUUGGAUGCAGUUAUAGACGUAUUGACAGUCCAUAUAUUGUUCUUUUGCAAGGGUUUAACAACUUUUUUUUAAAAAGUAGCAGAUUUGGAGCUGGCUAUAAGAACCACUCCUGUCUCUUCCAGUGCCAUCUGCACAGCAAUGCUCACAAGCCUGGGCCAGAAGCCAUUGCUAGGCUGGACCACUGGAUUCCUCUCUGUCAUGGCCACAGAGUCCGACAUCUACCUGUGUACUGAAGCCAAAGCACCACGUUCUUUACC
rnacentral:lncRNA from 1 species